rnacentral:rRNA from 1 species
AUUGAACGCUGGCGGCAGGCCUAACACAUGCAAGUCGAGCGAGCGGCGGACGGGUGAGUAAUGUAUGGGCAUCUGCCUGAUGGAGGGGGAUAACUACUGGAAACGGUGGCUAAUACCGCAUACUAUCGGCUGUACCCAUAUGGGAUUAGGUAGUUGGUGGGGUAAAGGCUCACCAAGGCCACGAUCCAUAGCUGGUCUUAGAGGGUGAUCAGCCACACUGGAACUGAGACACGGUCCAGACUCCUACGGGAGGCAGCAGUGGGGAAUCUUGGACAAUGGGCGAAAGUCUGAGCCAGCAAUGCCGCGUGUGUGAAGAAGGUUUUCGGAUUGUAAAACACUGUUAUUUGGGAGGCGUUACCUAACGAAAAAGCAACGGCUAACUACGUGCCAGCAGCCGCGGUAAUUC